UACAGAGGGUGCAAGCGUUACUCGGAAUUACUGGGCGUAAAGCGUGCGCAGUCGGUUAUUUAAGUCGGGCGUGAAAGCCCCGGGCUCAACCUGGGAAUUGCGUUCGAUACUGGAUAGCUAGAGUUCGGCAGAGGGAAGCGGAAUUUCGGGUGUAGCGGUGAAAUGCGUAGAUAUCCGAAGGAACAUCAGUGGCGAAAGCGGCUUCCUGGACCAGAACUGACGAUCAGGCACGAAAGCGUGGGGAGCAAACAGG
rnacentral:rRNA from 1 species